AGCGUACACGGUGGAUGCCCUGGCAGUCAGAGGCGAUGAAGGACGUGCUAAUCUGCGAUAAGCGUCGGUAAGGUGAUAUGAACCGUUAUACUAUCAUUAACUGAAUCCAUAGGUUAAUGAGGCGAACCGGGGGAACUGAAACAUCUAAGUACCCCGAGGAAAAGAAAUCAACCGAGAUUCCCCCAGUAGCGGCGAGCGAACGGGGAGCAGCCCAGAGCCUGAAUCAGUAUGUGUGUUAGUGGAAGCGUCUGGAAAGGCGCGCGAUACAGGGUGACAGCCCCGUACACAAAAAUGCACAUGCUGUGAGCUCGAUGAGUAGGGCGGGACACGUGGUAUCCUGUCUGAAUAUGGGGGGACCAUCCUCCAAGGCUAAAUACUCCUGACUGACCGAUAGUGAACCAGUACCGUGAGGGAAAGGCGAAAAGAACCCCGGCGAGGGGAGUGAAAAAGAACCUGAAACCGUGUACGUACAAGCAGUGGGAGCUCGCUUAGGCGUGUGACUGCGUACCUUUUGUAUAAUGGGUCAGCGACUUAUAUUCUGUAGCAAGGUUAACCGAAUAGGGGAGCCGAAGGGAAACCGAGUCUUAACUGGGCGUUAAGUUGCAGGGUAUAGACCCGAAACCCGGUGAUCUAGCCAUGGGCAGGUUGAAGGUUGGGUAACACUAACUGGAGGACCGAACCGACUAAUGUUGAAAAAUUAGCGGAUGACUUGUGGCUGGGGGUGAAAGGCCAAUCAAACCGGGAGAUAGCUGGUUCUCCCCGAAAGCUAUUUAGGUAGCGCCUCGUGAAUUCAUCUCCGGGGGUAGAGCACUGUUUCGGCAAGGGGGUCAUCCCGACUUACCAACCCGAUGCAAACUGCGAAUACCGGAGAAUGUUAUCACGGGAGACACACGGCGGGUGCUAACGUCCGUCGUGAAGAGGGAAACAACCCAGACCGCCAGCUAAGGUCCCAAAGUCAUGGUUAAGUGGGAAACGAUGUGGGAAGGCCCAGACAGCCAGGAUGUUGGCUUAGAAGCAGCCAUCAUUUAAAGAAAGCGUAAUAGCUCACUGGUCGAGUCGGCCUGCGCGGAAGAUGUAACGGGGCUAAACCAUGCACCGAAGCUGCGGCAGCGACGCUUAUGCGUUGUUGGGUAGGGGAGCGUUCUGUAAGCCUGCGAAGGUGUGCUGUGAGGCAUGCUGGAGGUAUCAGAAGUGCGAAUGCUGACAUAAGUAACGAUAAAGCGGGUGAAAAGCCCGCUCGCCGGAAGACCAAGGGUUCCUGUCCAACGUUAAUCGGGGCAGGGUGAGUCGACCCCUAAGGCGAGGCCGAAAGGCGUAGUCGAUGGGAAACAGGUUAAUAUUCCUGUACUUGGUGUUACUGCGAAGGGGGGACGGAGAAGGCUAUGUUGGCCGGGCGACGGUUGUCCCGGUUUAAGCGUGUAGGCUGGUUUUCCAGGCAAAUCCGGAAAAUCAAGGCUGAGGCGUGAUGACGAGGCACUACGGUGCUGAAGCAACAAAUGCCCUGCUUCCAGGAAAAGCCUCUAAGCAUCAGGUAACAUCAAAUCGUACCCCAAACCGACACAGGUGGUCAGGUAGAGAAUACCAAGGCGCUUGAGAGAACUCGGGUGAAGGAACUAGGCAAAAUGGUGCCGUAACUUCGGGAGAAGGCACGCUGAUAUGUAGGUGAAGUCCCUCGCGGAUGGAGCUGAAAUCAGUCGAAGAUACCAGCUGGCUGCAACUGUUUAUUAAAAACACAGCACUGUGCAAACACGAAAGUGGACGUAUACGGUGUGACGCCUGCCCGGUGCCGGAAGGUUAAUUGAUGGGGUYAGCGCAAGCGAAGCUCUUGAUCGAAGCCCCGGUAAACGGCGGCCGUAACUAUAACGGUCCUAAGGUAGCGAAAUUCCUUGUCGGGUAAGUUCCGACCUGCACGAAUGGCGUAAUGAUGGCCAGGCUGUCUCCACCCGAGACUCAGUGAAAUUGAACUCGCUGUGAAGAUGCAGUGUACCCGCGGCAAGACGGAAAGACCCCGUGAACCUUUACUAUAGCUUGACACUGAACAUUGAGCCUUGAUGUGUAGGAUAGGUGGGAGGCUUUGAAGUGUGGACGCCAGUCUGCAUGGAGCCGACCUUGAAAUACCACCCUUUAAUGUUUGAUGUUCUAACGUUGACCCGUAAUCCGGGUUGCGGACAGUGUCUGGUGGGUAGUUUGACUGGGGCGGUCUCCUCCUAAAGAGUAACGGAGGAGCACGAAGGUUGGCUAAUCCUGGUCGGACAUCAGGAGGUUAGUGCAAUGGCAUAAGCCAGCUUGACUGCGAGCGUGACGGCGCGAGCAGGUGCGAAAGCAGGUCAUAGUGAUCCGGUGGUUCUGAAUGGAAGGGCCAUCGCUCAACGGAUAAAAGGUACUCCGGGGAUAACAGGCUGAUACCGCCCAAGAGUUCAUAUCGACGGCGGUGUUUGGCACCUCGAUGUCGGCUCAUCACAUCCUGGGGCUGAAGUAGGUCCCAAGGGUAUGGCUGUUCGCCAUUUAAAGUGGUACGCGAGCUGGGUUUAGAACGUCGUGAGACAGUUCGGUCCCUAUCUGCCGUGGGCGCUGGAGAACUGAGGGGGGCUGCUCCUAGUACGAGAGGACCGGAGUGGACGCAUCACUGGUGUUCGGGUUGUCAUGCCAAUGGCACUGCCCGGUAGCUAAAUGCGGAAGAGAUAAGUGCUGAAAGCAUCUAAGCACGAAACUUGCCCCGAGAUGAGUUCUCCCUGACCGUGGACGCAUCACUGGUGUUCGGGUUGU
rnacentral:rRNA from 1 species